rnacentral:rRNA from 1 species
UACGAAGGGGGCUAGCGUUGUUCGGAAUUACUGGGCGUAAAGCGCACGUAGGCGGAUUGUUAAGUCAGGGGUGAAAUCCUGGAGCUCAACUCCAGAACUGCCUUUGAUACUGGCGAUCUUGAGUUCGGGGAGAGGUGAGUGGAACUGCGAGUGUAGAGGUGAAAUUCGUAGAUAUUCGCAAGAACACCAGUGGCGAAGGCGGCUCACUGGCCCGAUACUGACGCUGAGGCACGAAAGCGUGGGGAGCAAACAGGG